rnacentral:lncRNA from 1 species
GAGGGGGAAGGGACCAAGAUCCACCACUGGCCCCUGCCAAGAAAAUAAAGACAAAUACAUGAUAAAGAUUCAUCUUAAAAUAUUUAUUUACAAAAAUAACAGACCACGUGAAUAUUGAUUUAUUCUUUAUCCUUAAGGUUGAAAUCAACUUUCUUUGGAUUACUCUGAAGAGUCUAUUGGACAACUUCACCUGAUUCACC